rnacentral:rRNA from 1 species
UACGAAGGGGGCUAGCGUUGUUCGGAAUUACUGGGCGUAAAGCGCGCGCAGGCGGUCUUCCAAGUCAGUGGUGAAAGCCCGGAGCUCAACUCCGGAAUUGCCAUUGAAACUGUUGGACUUGAGGAUGAGAGAGGUGAGUGGAAUUCCCAGUGUAGAGGUGAAAUUCGUAGAUAUUGGGAAGAACACCAGUGGCGAAGGCGACUCACUGGACACGUAUUGACGCUGAGGUGCGAAAGCGUGGGGAGCAAACA